GACGAGGGAUCCUAGCGUUGCUCGGAAUUAUUGGGCGUAAAGCGGGUGUAGGUGGCUUGGUAAGUCGGGUGUGAAAGCCCAGGGCUCAACCCUGGAAGUGCAUUCGAUACUGCUAAGCUUGAGUGCGAGAGAGGUUAAUAGAAUACCUGGUGUAGUGGUGAAAUACGUAGAUAUCAGGUGGAACACCGGAGGCGAAGGCGGUUAACUGGCUCGACACUGACACUGAGACCCGAAAGCGUGGGGAUCAAACAGG
rnacentral:rRNA from 1 species